rnacentral:rRNA from 1 species
AUAUCAGUCAUGCAUAGCAUAUCAAUAAGCGGAGGAAAAGAAACUAACAAGGAUUCCCUUAGUAACGGCGAGUGAAGCGGGAAGAGCUCAAAUUUGAAAUCUUCAAGGUUUUACCUUGACGAAUUGUAGUUUAUAGAAGUGUUUUCUGUUAGUAGGAGUGGCAAAAGUUCUUUGGAAUAGGACAUCAUAGAGGGUGAGAAUCCCGUAUUUGGUCAUUCUUCUAGCGUUGUGAUACACUUUCAACGAGUCGGAUUGUUUGGGAAUGCAGUCCAAAAUGGGUGGUAAAUUUCAUCUAAAGCUAAAUAUUGGCGAGAGACCGAUAGCGAACAAGUACCGUGAGGGGAAGAUGAAAAGAACUUUGAAAAGAGAGUUAAACAGUACGUGAAAUUGUCAAAAGGGAAGCGUUUGACACCAGUGUUGUUUUUCCGAAAAUCAAUUACGAAUGUUUUAUUUUUGAGGAGUUAUGACUUCAUCGGCUUGCUCUCUUCUUUAUGAAACUUUCUUAAUGCACUUUUCGGUUAACAAGUCAACAUCAAUUUCUUUUGUUGUAAAAGGGUAAGAGGAAGGUGGCUUACGCUUCGGCGUAAGUGUUUAUAGCCUUUUACCUCUGCAAUCGGGGAGAUUGAGGACAGCAGCGUAGACUCUUCGGGGUUAGAUACGUUUGUGCUAAGUUAUAGCCUUGUAUAGACAACUUGUUGACUAUACUCAGUCAUGUAGCUUACUCGCAGAUAGUAUUUUACCUACGCUUAGGAUGUUGAUCUCUCACAGUCGAGC